GCGGGUGUAGCUCAGUUGGUUAGAGCGUCAGGUUGUGGCCCUGAAGGCCAAGAGUUCGAAUCUCUUUACUCGCC
rnacentral:tRNA from 1 species